UACGGGGGGGCAAGCGUUGUUCGGAAUUCCUGGGCGUAAAGGGCGCGUAGGCGGCUUGGCAAGUGGAAGGUGAAAUCCCUCGGCUUAACCGAGGAACUGCCCUCCAAACUGCUUCGCUUGAGACCGGGAGAGGUGAGUGGAAUUCCCAGUGUAGCGGUGAAAUGCGUAGAUAUUGGGAGGAACACCAGUGGCGAAGGCGGCUCACUGGACCGGUACUGACGCUGAUGCGCGAAAGCGUGGGGAGCAAACGGG
rnacentral:rRNA from 1 species